rnacentral:lncRNA from 10 species
CCCAGGUGCAGCUGACCCUGAGGCCAGGCCAUUCUGAAGAGACACCAGUUCACAUGUGAAAUCUUGCUUCCUCCUCACAAGCACUUUGCAAGGAUGUAACAGCAGAGGCCAUCAAUCCUCCUGCCCAAAGAAGCCAACUGGGGCCAACCAGAACAUCUCUGCUGCUUGCUAAGGGAAUGAGUUUGUUUUCUGGAGCUGCUGCCUAUGAUUGCAGUGGAGAAAGAUGAUCUGAAAAGUCAGCCGUGAAUUUAUUGCUGCCCAUUCUCCAAGGCAUAUCUCUUACACUGUGAAUGUUGUUAAGUUGUAGGAGAGAAAAGUGCUGUAAAGGAAUAAGGAUAUCCCUGCAUUUUACCAGGUGACAGCUUCGGCAGCACUGUGGGCGGAGCCAUAACAGACUGGAGCUUGUGGGUCCGGCUUCUAAAGUUGCUCCUCCUGUGACCUUGGACAAGUCACACUUCCUCCUGUCUGAUACCUCAUCUGCUCUGUGGGGGAUGUAGCUGCUUGCCUUUUUAUAAGAAUUAAAUGAAAGACUGGAA